AUUUUUUUAAGAUUUAAUUUAAAAUAAAAACCUGCUCAAUGUUAAUAUAAAUAGCUGCAAAAUAAUUGUACUAAGGUAGCAUAAUCAUUAGCUUUUUAAUUAAAAGAUAGAAUGAAUGGUUAAACGAGGUAUAUACUGUUUCAUUAGUUAAAACAAAUUUAAAUUAAAAGUAAAAAUUCUUUUAUUUCAAAGAAAGACGACAAGACCCUAAUAAACUUUAUAUUCAUUUAGCUGGGGAGGCUAAAUAAAAAAACCUUAAAAUAAAUUAUUAACUCAACUUUUAUUUAUAAAAACAAAGUUACUAUAGGGAUAACAGCGCAAUAUUAAUUAAAAGACCAUAUAAAAAUUAAAAAUUUACGACCUCGAUGUUGAAUUAAAUUUAACUUUAAAAAGCAAAAUUUUUAAAAGAAAGUCUGU
rnacentral:rRNA from 1 species